GUAGCAAAAUAAUUUGUUUUUUAAUUGGUAACGGGUAUGAAUGGUUAAACAAGUACUUUUAUUUUUAUGCAGAUUAAUUAAAUUCUAAUUUAAGUAAGAAUACUUAAAUGAGUAAAAGGGACGAUAAGACCCUAAAAUCUUUAUUUUUAUAUUUUUAAAAUGAGUAUAGUUUAUAAUAAAAUUAAUUAAUAAUUUGGUUGGGGCAGUCAUUUUAAUAAAAUUAAAAUUUUAUCUGCUGAAUAAAAGGAUUUUGGUCUUUUAUAUAAGGAUAGUUAGUUUAAGUUACUUUAGGGAUAACAGCGUAAUAUUUUCAGAAAGGUCUUAUUAAUGAAAAUGAUUGUGACCUCGAUGUUGAAUUAAAAAAUCUUUAUGAGGCAUAAUGUGUAGGAGAAAGUUUGUUCAACUUUUAAAAUUUU
rnacentral:rRNA from 1 species